rnacentral:rRNA from 1 species
UUUGUGUAGGAUAGGUGGGAGGCUUUGAAGCGAGGACGCCAGUUCUCGUGGAGCCAUCCUUGAAAUACCACCUGAUGUUGUUGAGGUUCUAACCUAGGUCCGUAAUCCGGAUCGGGGACCGUGCAUGGUGGGCAGUUGACUGGGGCGGUCUCCUCCCAAAGAGUAACGGAGGAGUGCGAAGGUAACCUAGGUACGGUCGGAAAUCGUACUGAUAGUGCAAUGGCAUAAGGUUGCUUGACUGCGAGACGGACAGGUCGAGCAGGUGCGAAAGCAGGUCAUAGUGAUCCGGUGGUUCUGUAUGGAAGGGCCAUCGCUCAACGGAUAAAAGGUACUCUGGGGAUAACAGGCUGAUUCCUCCCAAGAGUUCAUAUCGACGGGGGAGUUUGGCACCUCGAUGUCGGCUCAUCACAUCCUGGGGCUGUAGCCGGUCCCAAGGGUAUGGCUGUUCGCCAUUUAAAGUGGUACGUGAGCUGGGUUUAAAACGUCGUGAGACAGUUUGGUCCCUAUCUGCCGUGGGCGUUGGAAGUUUGAGGGGGGC